ensembl:lncRNA LOC108351161 uncharacterized LOC108351161
CCUUGUUCCUAUUCACUUGUGGGAGUGAUCUAUGGCUGUUGUGCAUUAGACAAUCAGGCAGCCCAGGGACCUGCAAAUGCCAUGGCCACCUAGGCUGAGUGUGGCAGAGGCUAGGAGGCAGGAGAGAUAGUUAGCAGAUGUGACUGGAACCCGACGCUUUAAGCCUGUCUCCAAACUACCCUACCGAACCAACCGAUUUCAUCCAGGCACAGCCUUUCACUGCUUCAGCCUCAGCACCUCAGCUGGAGUCAUUCAGGGGUUGUUCAGUUGAGACCUGUUGCUAAGGGACAAAGAGGCAAAAAGAAUUCAACAAAUAGUCAACCACAGGCCAAGAUCUGUGGUGUUUACUUACAGAAGUAUGCUCAGACCAGAUGACCAGAGACAUGCCAACCCAAGGGGACUUGGAAUUUCUGGAUUUGGAAGGCCACAAGACUCUAGAGAGAAAAGUGCCAAAGAGCUUCUCAUGGUGUACCAGCUGCUUCUUCCUGGUUCAGCAGACCCAUGCCAUUCAGAGGAGCCUUGCAGUUUCUUCUGGAUCAAGCCGCUGCUACUGAUUUAUGUUUGGUAUUUUGGACUGGACUGUUGUUCUGACAACAAAGACUGGAAUCGACCUAGAGAAUUACUUCUAAACAGGACCACAUCCCCCAUCGCCCAUUAAUCUUUCUUUUCCCUACCUCUGGUAGAUUGGCUAGAAGGGAGGUUGAAGAGUUUAAAAUUCCUUAUUAAAGUAGGUUUUGAAAAACCUAAACCUACAAAUUAUGAUUUAACUGGAAAUUUCAGAUGCAGGAAAAUUAAAAGAAAAACAAAACAAAACCUACAACCCCGGAUGUUUUGACUACGAACCUGCAGAAUUUAAUUUGUGUCAACAUUAUUUGGGUUACAAAAAAACAUGAUAGAGUUUGUGAAGCAAGAGUGAGUCGUGUCUGAAAAGGAAGUCAUUUUUAGCAUUCUGACAGGAGGAUGUGGUCUUCCAAAGUUAGAAAACUGUCACUUUUGGUAAAUGGAGCAACUAGCUUCCAGAGGAAAGGUCUUGAGUUGUUAGACAGGAAUUCUGAGUUCAAGUCCUAGGAUCUCCUUUGCUGAAGCAUUUGGACAAGUACCUUAUGUCUCUGAUUUUCAGUUGUUGUUGUUGUUUUGUAAGGGAGGGGUGAUUUUUCUCAAGACAGGGUUUCUCUGAGUAGCCCUGGCCAUCUCAGAACUCACUUUGUAGACCAGGAAACUAUGUGCAGAUCUGCCUGCCUGCUACCGCCUCUUGGAGCUCUGGGAUUAAAGGCAUGUGUCACCUCGUCUGGCUUGCAUUUCGGCUUCCUUGAUAAUGUGGUAGGCAAGAUUCUAUCAGCAAUUUUGUGUGUCCUUUUCUGUGUUUGUGAUUGUGUGCUGUGUGCGUGAGUACGAGACAGUGCGUGUGAGUGGGAUGUGCAUGUGGCACCACAGAGAUCAGAAGUCAAUGUCAGCUGUCUUCCUCCAUUUC